UUUUCAGGGAACUAACGAACGGAGGUUGCUCAGUGCACAUGCGCGGCCAACACAAAAUGAACGAAUCACUCUGAGACUACUCGUUCUUCUGAGUCACAAAGGAUUCGUUCAAAAUGAACGAAUCGUUCAUGAACGACUCAUCACUAACGCUCUGGUGUAGGCAAGCGCACAACACAUAAUUUGAUCUCUACGACCGUACAGGAAUAAUUGCCCCUGCACUGGAGUAGGCAGUGGUUCAGUCUCCACAAAAAGUCUGUGUCAUGAUUGACCUAAAGACUGCCAGUCAUUGGUGUGUUGAGCACUCUAAUGACUUCAUUGGUUCAGUUCAGCUUCCUCUGAUUCUUUUUAUGGAGGAUGAAGUUGCUGAGGCCCUGGACAGGUUCUUCAGUGCAGAGUUCAUGGAUCAUGAUGCUGUAGAGCCAUUGAUUGUUUUUUACAUUUAUGCAGGACAUGCAUGCAUUUCUGGAGCAAGUUGUUGACCAAAUGAAGCUAAGUAUCUACUGCCAAACAGAGUUGAGUAAUUGUAGUAAUAGUUCCUUUUAAUCAUUUUAUUUUUGUUUUGUGUUAAUUUAUCAUGUAUUAUGUUAAAUGGUACACACUGUUUCAUGGUGGUGUUAUAGAAAUGUCAUGUUUUGUUUUAUUGUAUUUACUAAAGUCAUAACAAUCAAUAAUUGUUAUUCUCUCUGGUUUCUUUGAAAUACUGGUAUGGCAAUCUUGUCAGCAUAUUAACGUAUUGAACCUGACGGCAGCAGAGCUCAUGCUUUAAUGCUGUGUUAAGCAAUCAAUGAUUUAACAAGUUCUUAUAAAGUGAUACAUCUGGUUUAUAGUGAAGAAAUAUACACAGGUGCUGUUUCAGUUUAAUUGGUAUUUAAUCAUGUGUCUGACAUGAAACAACUUAAAUACACAUUACCCGCAUAACACAAUUUAUCUAAAGCCUGAGUAAUAUAAAAUAAGAACGUAUAUAAGAAAAGGUGAAUUAAUUUGAAGCAGACGUGACUUAUGCAUGUAUUUUGUCAGCAUUGCAUGAUUUUGUUUCGCACAUCCUUCCACACAGAGACAUUACACACCGCGUCCCGUCAAAUCUUUGAUCUGCAUAGUAAUCUGAUCUUAUUACAGUAGACGGUCAACAUAAUGUCCGUGAACUAGGAUUUUUAUAAAAUCCUGGCCCACCAGUCCUGAUGGUAAUAUAAAGUCGUAAUCUUUAAAAAUCCACCUCUUACAACUGUCAUGUUCAGAUCAGUCUUAAUGCAGCGCUAAUAGAAAUGUCUUCGGCUGUGCCUUAAGUUUGUAAACAGUAACUUCAUCUAUUUCCGACCGCGUGCUUCCGGUUUCGACAUCUCGAGAGUGUGACGUCACAGCAAAGCGUGCCUUUUGUGGCUGUGUCUCGUUUUUCGAAGGCUGCAUGCUAGGUAGGACGCGUCCUUUGAAGGCUGCAGUAUACCGAGUGCCCUCCUCUAAACAAGCCUCGUUUAAACGAGACGGCCUUCGUAGGACUAACGGAAAUGGAACGUAACAUGGUUGCUAUGACAGCACGUCACUCUUUAACAAGCGCGAGCGCUUUGAGUGAGAAGGGAACAAAUUCCCUCUGGAAGGGAAUGUAUGAGGUAAAUUUUAGGAGAGUUAUGAUGUAAAGAGAAAAGAAAAUAGAUUUAACAGGUGUACUUUUAGUCUAAUAAUUUAUUUUAAUUAUAUAUUAAUAUAAUUAUACAUAUAUACUCUGCACCCAUGUACUGAGGUACUUCAACUUGGGAAUUAACAUUACUUGCGUUUGAACAUCAUAUUUACGGGCAAAUUGGCAUUUUUAUUUUUUUUUUAGACAUUUCCGUUGAAGCAAAGAAUUGUGGGUUGUGAGUGCCCACGAAGGAUACACCUCAUGCAUCUUCUGAAUUCCUGUGAAAGAAGGUCGCAUUCGAAGUGUCCUACACACUUUUAUGAAACGAGACAGCCUCGAUGACGUAUGUGUCCGACAAAUGCGACCUCCGUAGUACACGUUCUUCCAAACGAGACACCGCGUGAGUCUGAGAGUGCAUCUCAGUGCGCAUGCGUGAGUCUGAGACUGCAUGUAUGAGAAUGCAUCUGGAUGUCUGCAGCCAGACCCUAUUGCCAAAAGCACCCUUUGGCGUUUCCAGCGCAUCCGGCAAGUGCAUUGCUUUCAAUGACAAACGUUCGGCGUCAAAGACUGACGUGAAGGGAAUCUGAUUUUUAUCAUUGUCAAAUUAUAUGUUGGGGUAGAAUUUUCAUUAUGUUUGAAAUCAACCACUUUAUUCACUCAGCAACAUGUAGUAUUUUACAGUGGUGAAUGUUUGAUCUGUUUUUUUUUUUUAUAUACACAUUCUGCUCUGCUGAAGUGGCCUGGGCCUGGUUUUCCCAAUAACGAUCAAUCUUCGCUGUUAAGUGUUUUCUACGAGCAAUUUUACGACUUUUUUUUUUUUUUUACGUGCGUUUCCCAAAACUGCACUUAACAUGAACGGGCGAGGAUGCGUUUUAAGUGCUACUUAAGAGAGACGCUGUUAAUGUGACCGUAUAGUGCUGUAAUUUCAUUAGCCCAUAUUUGUGCAUAACUUUUACAAUUUGUAAUUUACCUGUAAAAUAUAUUUAUUUUUUAAAUAUUCGACCUAAUUAACUGCACAUUUACAUUGUUUUACAAUAAUUUUGUGCAGAACAGUCUUUUACACAAUCUGCUUCCAUAAUCCAGUGUAAAUUUGUAAUAUUUCGUUUUCCUAUUCUUCUCGAUAUAAAAGCUUCCAGGAUUAGUGAAGACAGUGGAGGCCCUGUGUAUGAUCCUGCUAAUUACAGGCAUUCAUUGAGUAUUAUUCAGUGUUAUCGCGGAGCGCAAAAAGAGAUGUUCAGAAGAUGCGCUUUAGGGACAUUCACCAAUGAAGCGGAGGUCUGCUCUUUACUCCCCAAAGUGAUAAUGGUGACAGUAAUGCUGCAUGUGCGAUGCUUCACAACAUGUAGUGUUGGCGAGAGAGCCUUUGGGAGUCUGAGGAAGAGGGGAUGAGUAUAAAAGCAUCUGACAAAUUAAUAAAUGUAAAUGUAGGAUGAGCAAAUAAACUCAGCAAAAAAAAGAAACAUCCCUUUUUCAGGAUGCUGUAUUUUGUAGAAUUUGUAAAAAAAAAUCAAAAUAACUUUACAAAUCUUUAUUGUAAAGGGUUUAAACAAUGUUUUCCAUGCUUGUUCAAUGAACCAUAAACAAUUAAUGAACAUGCACCUGUGGAACGGUCAUUAUGACACUAACAGCUUACAAACAGUAGGCAAUUAAGGUCACAGUUAUAAAAACUUAGGACACUAAAGAGACCUUUCUACUGACUCCCAGGGUCCCUGCUCAUCUGCGUGAACGUGCCUUAGGCAUGCUGCAUGGAGGCAUGAGGACUGCAGAUGUCACCAGGGCAAUAAAUUGCAAUGUCCGUACUGUGAGACGCCUAUGACAGCGCUACAGGGAGACAGGAAGGACAGCUGAUUGUCCUCGCGGUGGCAGACCAUGUGUAAAACCUGCACGGGAUCGGUAAAUCUGAAUAUCACACCUGCGGGACAGGUAAAGGAUGGCAACAACAACUGCCCGAGUUACACCAGGAACACACAAUCCCUCCAUCAGUGCUCAGACUGUCCGUCUGUUGUAAGGCAGGUCCUUACCAGACAUCACUGGCAACAACGUCGCCUAUGGGCACAAACCCACCUUCGCUGGACCAGACAGGACUGGUAAAAAGUGCUCUUCACUGACAAGUCGUGGUUUUGUCUCACCAGGAGUGAUGGUCGGACUCGCAUUUAUCGUCGAAGGAAUGAGCAUUACACCGAGGCCUGUACUCUGAAGCAGGAUCGAUUUGGAGGUGGAGGGUCUGACAUGGUCUGGGGCAGUGUGUCACAGCAUCAUCUGACUGAGCUUGUUGUCAUUGCAGGCAAUCUCAAUGCUGUGUGUUACAGGGAAGACAUCCUCCUCUCUCAUGUGGUACCCUUCCUGCAGGCUCAUCCUGACAUGACCCUCCAGCAUGACAAUGCCAUCAGCCAUACUGCUCAUUCUGUGAGUGAUUUCCUGCAAGACAGGAAUGUCAGUGUUCUGCCAUGGCUAGCGAAGUGCCCGGAUCUCAAUCCCAUAAGAAACUGGCUGUUACUGUUGAUUCUGUUCCUCUCGCAAUACUAUCAUAUGGUUUGGAAUUAUUAUAGUGCUUUUGUAUCAUUUUUAUUUUAAAUAAAUGAUUAUUAGUGACCGUACUUUUAUCUGCUUGUUGUCUUUAAUAUUGUUGAGAAUUGGUUGGGUUUAGGCAUAACGGUGGGGUCACGUGCUUAAUAUCUAAAAAAUAGAAAUUGUGUAAUGUCAAUUUAAAAUAUUGUUACUAAAUUUACCCAACCCUAUCCCUAAACCUAACCAAUUAUCAACGAUGUUAAACAUGGAACCUCAUUCAUGAUUUAUAUAGUUGAUAAUUGGUUAGGUUCAGGAAUGGAGUUGGGUCAGAGGAUCUAAAAUCGACAUGAUCACGCAAUAUAACCACACUAAUAUAUUUAUAAGUAUAAUAAAACAUACUGCGGUUAAUCACUAUGGGAUCAAAAUCCCGUCAAAAGUAUUGUGGUCGGAUCCAAAAAUGAUAAGCGUGAAUUAAAAAAUAAGCGCAGAUAAAUAAUAAUAUGCGCAAAAAUAAGCGCAGAUAAAAAAAUAAGCAUGAAUCAAAAAUAUAUAAACGCAUAUAAAAUAUGCUGCAAAAAAAAAAAAAACAGAAAUUAAAGCAAAGUCAUCAGACUUGCAAACAAAAUCAUGUUUUCCUUUGUUAUAUUACUGUUUUUUUUUUGUUUGUUUUUUUUUGUUGUUUUUUUUUUUGUUGUUGUUGCUCUGACAGUUGCUAAUUAAUUUUUUUUUAUGCUUGCGCUGUAUUUUUCUUUGCUUUUGUUUCCAAAUUCUGUACUUGGUUUUCCAAAACUUGCGAGUAGAGUUUCAUGCAAAUCAGGUGGCAUUUUGCAUCCCCAUUGGUCCACUAGUUCUUGAUCAACAGCUCCUUCUCUAGCCAAUCAUUCAAAGAGGGGAGGUGACAUCACUCCAAUGCAACUCCGAUGGCUGCUGCUCAAUCGCACGAUGGUAGAUGAGCAGAGUUAGCAGAGUCUUUAGUUUAGGCGUUAUUUUAGACUUCCUUGUUUGUAGGUUAUUAG